CCUACGGGAGGCAGCAGUGGGGAAUAUUGGGCAAUGGGCGCAAGCCUGACCCAGCAACGCCGCGUGAAGGAAGAAGGCUUUCGGGUUGUAAACUUCCUUUCUCAGGGACGAAGCAAGUGACGGUACCUGAGGAAUAAGCCACGGCUAACUACGUGCCAGCAGCCGCGGAAAUACGUAGGUGGCAAGCGUUAUCCGGAUUUACUGGGUGUAAAGGGCGUGUAGGCGGGAAAGCAAGUCAGAUGUGAAAACCAUGGGCUCAACCUGUGGCCUGCAUUUGAAACUGUUUUUCUUGAGUACUGGAGAGGCAGACGGAAUUCCUGGUGUAGCGGUGAAAUGCGUAGAUAUUAGGAGGAACACCAGUGGCGAAGGCGGUCUGCUGGACAGCAACUGACGCUGAGGCGCGAAAGCGUGGGGAGCAAACAGGAUUAGAUACCCCGGUAGUC
rnacentral:rRNA from 1 species